UGGGCAACCUGCCCUCAGCUCUGGGAUAACCCCGGGAAACCGGGGCUAAUACCGGAUACGACCUCCGCGGGCAUCUGCGGAGGUGGAAAGGUCUUCCGGCUGAGGAUGGGCCCGCGGCCUAUCAGCUUGUUGGUGGGGUGACGGCCCACCAAGGCGACGACGGGUAGCCGGCCUGAGAGGGCGACCGGCCACACUGGGACUGAGACACGGCCCAGACUCCUACGGGAGGCA
rnacentral:rRNA from 1 species